CGCGAAAACUUUACAAUGCUGGCAACAGCGAUAAAGGAACCUCGAGCGCCAGGUUACAAAUCUGACUGUCGAGAUGCCUAAAAAGCAUUUCAUAGCAAGGGCCGGGCGAGACCGGUGCCAGCCGCCGCGGUAACACCGGCGGCUCGAGUGGUAACCGUUAUUAUUGGGUCUAAAGGGUCUGUAGCCGGCCGGAUAAGUCUCUUGGGAAAUCUGGCAGCUCAACUGUCAGGCUUUCAGGAGAUACUGUCUGGCUCGAGGCCGGGAGAGGUGAGAGGUACUUCAGGGGUAGGGGUGAAAUCUUGUAAUCCUUGAAGGACCACCAGUGGCGAAGGCGUCUCACCAGAACGGACCUGACGGCAAGGGACGAAAGCUAGGGGCACGAACCGGAUUAGAUACCCGGGUAGUCCUAGCCGUAAACGAUACUCGCUAGGUGUCGGCCACGGUGCGACCGUGGUCGGUGCCGUAGGGAAGCCGUGAAGCGAGCCACCUGGGAAGUACGGCCGCAAGGCUGAAACUUAGAGGAAUUGGCGGGGGAGCACCACAACGGGUGGAGCUUGCGGUUUAAUUGGAUUCAACGCCGG
rnacentral:rRNA from 1 species